rnacentral:pre_miRNA from 1 species
GUACGAUCGUUUCAUGCGACUUCUUUUAUUUAAGCAAUGUGAACAUUACAUCAAAUGUUCACAUUGCUUAAAUAAAUGGAGUCGCAUGAAACGAUCGUACC